ensembl:misc_RNA Metazoa_SRP Metazoan signal recognition particle RNA
GCUGGGCAUGAUGGCUUAUGCCUGUAAUCCCAGCUACUCAGGAGGCUGAGGCAGGAGAAUUGCUUGAGCCCAGGAGGUGGAGGUUGCAGUGAGCCGAGAUCACAGCCCUGCACUCCAGCCUGAGCAACAGAGCAAGACUCUGUCUCAU